GACGAACGCUGGCGGUGUGCUUCACACAUGCAAGUCGAACGAGGUAGCAAUACCUAGUGGCGGACGGGUGAGUAACGCGUGGGAAUCUGCCUUUAGAUGGGGGAUAACGAGCCGAAAGGUUCGCUAAUACCGCAUAGGUCGCAAGAUUAAAGGAGUAAUCCGUCUAGAGAUGAGCCCGCGUCCGAUUAGCUAGUUGGUAGGGUAAAGGCCUACCAAGGCGACGAUCGGUAGCUGGUCUGAGAGGAUGAUCAGACCACAAUGGGACUGAGACACGGCCCAUACUCCUACGGGAGGCAGCAGUGGGGAAUUUUACGUCAAUGGGCGAAAGCCUGACGUAGCGACACCGCGUGAGCGAAGAAGCCCUUUGGGGUGUAAAGCUCUGUCGGCUGGAACGAAAAAAUGACGGUACCAGCAAAGGAAGCAUCGGCUAACUACGUGCCAGCAGCCGCGGUAAUGAGUUGUCGU
rnacentral:rRNA from 1 species